GGACCCAUUUGAUUAAGAAGAACAGAAGCCUACUCCAGCUAGCUGAAGAGGAGAGGUUUUGAUAAGAAUUUGAAGAGUGCUGAGGAAUCCAAGAGAAACUUUUUGUCAAAUUGAUUCCACCCCCACAGCCCCAGUGAACUUGAGGACUAAUUUGUAAGGAAACAUUACAGAUACAGUUGAAGCCCAUUGUAUGCGCUUUACCUCUUUGUCCCUAGAGGUAACCAGUCUCCUGAAUUUGGUGUUUAUUAUUCCUAUGAAAGUUUCAAAUGAUUACA